UACGAACUGUGCAAACGUUAUUCGGAAUCACUGGGCUUAAAGGGUGCGUAGGCGGCUGUCUAAGCAGGGUGUGAAAGCCCCCCGGCUCAACCGGGGAAUUGCGUUCUGAACUGGACGGCUGGAGUGGGAUAGAGGUGUGCGGAACUUCCGGUGGAGCGGUGAAAUGUGUUGAUAUCGGAAGGAACGCCGGUGGCGAAAGCGGCACACUGGGUCUCAACUGACGCUGAGGCACGAAAGCCAGGGGAGCGAACGGG
rnacentral:rRNA from 1 species